GUCUGCAAUCAUAACCCCCUGAAUGUGCCCGAUCUCAUCUGAUCUCGGAAGCUAAGCAGUGUGAGGCUUGGUUAGUACUUGGAUGGGAGUCAAAGUUAUAAUUUUGGGACAAGCUCAGGGUAAACA
rnacentral:rRNA from 1 species